AGCUUUGUGCAGUGGUCGUAUCAUAGUCCAUGAGGUUAAACUGAGUCAUGAUUAGAUUAUUGCUAAAUGAAAACUUUUCUCUAGGAGCCACACAGCAAACACAGGUUUGGGAUUGUAGCUACAUCUCCAAUAGAAUGUGUGAAAAUAUCCAAAGAAG
rnacentral:snRNA from 1 species